UACGGAGGGGGCUAGCGUUGUUCGGAAUCACUGGGCGUAAAGGGAGCGUAGGCGGGUUCUUAAGUUAGGUGUUUAAUCCCGGGGCCCAACCCCGGACCGGCACUUAAAACUGGGAAUCUUGAAUAGUGGAGAGGUCAGUGGAAUUGGGGGUGUAGCGGUGGAAUGCGUAGAGAUCCCCAAGAACACCAGUUGCGAAGGCGGCUGACUGGACACAUAUUGACGCUGAGGCUCGAAAGCAUGGGGAGCAAACAGG
rnacentral:rRNA from 1 species